rnacentral:rRNA from 1 species
UACGGAGGGUGCAAGCGUUAUCCGGAUUCACUGGGUUUAAAGGGAGCGUAGGUGGGCUGGUAAGUCAGUGGUGAAAUCUCCGGGCUUAACUCGGAAACUGCCGUUGAUACUAUCAGUCUUGAAUGUUGUGGAGGUAAGCGGAAUAUGUCAUGUAGCGGUGAAAUGCCUAGAUAUGACAUAGAACACCGAUAGCGAAGGCAGCUUGCUACACAAUAAUUGACACUGAGGCACGAAAGCGUGGGGAGCAAACAGG